rnacentral:tRNA from 1 species
GGGCGGUUAGCUCAGCUGGUUAGAGUGCUGCCGUGACAUGGCAGAGGUCAGUGGUUCGAGUCCACUACCGCCCACCA